rnacentral:rRNA from 1 species
CCUACGGGAGCCAGCAGUGAGGAAUAUUGGUCAAUGGACGAGAGUCUGAACCAGCCAAGUAGCGUGAAGGAUGACUGCCCUAUGGGUUGUAAACUUCUUUUAUAUGGGAAUAAAAUGUUCCACGUGUGGGAUUUUGUAUGUACCAUAUGAAUAAGGAUCGGCUAACUCCGUGCCAGCAGCCGCGGUAAUACGGAGGAUCCGAGCGUUAUCCGGAUUUAUUGGGUUUAAAGGGAGCGUAGGUGGAUUGUUAAGUCAGUUGUGAAAGUUUGCGGCUCAACCGUAAAAUUGCAGUUGAAACUGGCAGUCUUGAGUACAGUAGAGGUAGGCGGAAUGCGUGGUGUAGCGGUGAAAUGCUUAGAUAUCACGAAGAACUCCGAUUGCGAAGGCAGUUCACUGGACUGCAACUGACACUGAGGCUCGAAAGUGUGGGUAUCAAACAGGAUUAGAUACCCGAGUAGUC